rnacentral:snRNA from 1 species
AUCGCUUCUCGGCCUUUUGGCUAAGAUCAAAGUGUCUGUUCUUAUCAGCUUAAUAUCUGAUACGUCUCCUAAUGGAGACAUCGAUAUUAAACUGAUUUUUAGAAUGGGAUGAGGUGCCACGGGGCUUGCUCCGCCCUCAUCACGGGUUGACCCGGUAUUGCAGUACCUCCGGGAAUGGCCCACCACUC